UCUAGGCAUUGAGGAUACUCCAGUGAACCACAUACAGGCCCUACCCUUGUGGCAGUUACAUUCUGGAAGGGAGAGGUGGGCAAAAUUUAUAGUAAGUCAGACAGCGAGAAGUGCUAAGGAGAAAAAUAAAGCUGGGAGGGGAAGUGGUUCCCAUUUUAUAAGGAUGAGCAAAGAAAGCAUCACUGAUGAUGUGCUAUUUGAGCAAAGGCCUGAAAGAAGAGAAAGGGCAAGCCACACAUCUGGGGAAGCACAUGCCAGGUGAAGAGCCCUGCAGAAGUCCAUGAUCAGGAACAAGGAGGCCAGUGUGGCUGAAACAGAGUGGGAGAUAAAGAUGAGACAAAGGAGGCUCAGAGGAUUAAGUGACCUGCCCGCAGCAACACGGAGAAGAUGUGGUGGAACCAGGGAUCAAAAAUUUGUCCUCUGUGUAUAUAGCGCCUCAACUUUCCAUCACACUUGCCUUCCUGGUGACCUGAUAUCCCAGGAUUUUCACUUACUGCUCUGGGGACACAUUGGUUAAAUCCAAGUGGUUUGCAGGCACUGACUGGCAACAUAACUGUGGUCAAUAGAAGAAUGAUGUACUGAGUGGUGGUCACUUAGAACCAUGCAUCUGCCACCCCUCGAGGCUGGGCCAUGAAGAAGGCAUGGCUCGGCUGGCACGGUGGCUCACACCUGUAAUUCCAGCAAUUUGGGAGGCCGAGGUAGGCUGAUUGCUUGAGCUUAGGAGUUUAAGACCAGCCUGGGCAUCAUGGCAAAACCCCAUCUCUAUAAAAAAUACAAACAUUAGCCAGGUGGUAUGCACCUGUGAUCCCAGCAACAGCAGGAGGCUGAGGUGGGAGGAUCGCUUGAACCGGGUGUCAGACCUCAGAGCCUAAGCUAAGCCAUCAUAUCCCCAGUGACCUGCUUGUGUACAUCCAGAUGGCCUGAAGCAACUGAAGAUCCACAGAAGUGAAAAUAGCAUUAACUGAUGACAUUCCACCAUUGUGAUUUGUUUCUGCCCCACCCUAACUGAUCAAUGUUCUUGAUAAUUUCCCCCACCCUUAAGAAGUUUCUUUAUAAUUCGCCCCACCCUUGAAUGUACUUUGUGAGAUCCACCCUCUGCCCCAAAAACAUUGCUCUUAACUCCACCUCCUAUCCCAAAACCUAUAAGAACCAAUGGUAAUCCCACAACCCUUUGCUGCCUCCUUUUUUGGACUCAGCCUGCCUGCACCCAGGUGAAAUAAACAGCUAUGCUGCUCACACAAA
rnacentral:lncRNA from 1 species